rnacentral:RNase_P_RNA from 1 species
UCCGCAGGCCAUGCGGUCGCGGGGGGUGAUGCUCCUCGAGGAAAGUCCGGACACCACAGGGCAAGGACGGUCGGUAACGCCGACCCGGGGAAACCCGCGGGAAAGUGCCACAGAAACGACACGGCCGAUGGCGCGGCCUCACGUGAGCCGCGCACAGGCAAAGGUGAAAUGGUGCGGUAAGAGCGCACCGGCGCCACGGUGACGCGGCGCGUCAGGGCAAACCCCGUCCGGUGCAAGGCCAAGCAGGACCGACGACCCGGCCCGGCGAGGUCCAGGUAGGCCGCAGGGCCCCGGCGAACGGGGCCCUCCGGGGACGCAGUCCCCGGUGAGACAGAUGACUGCACACGACAGAAUCCGGCUUAAAGCCUGCUAAGGGA